ensembl:lncRNA
UUUAUUCACAGUCACUGUACAUUAUAUUCAUUCAGGAAGAGUGGUCUAAUCUGUAGAGAGGAAGACUGAUUGUUUAUUUUGUUCUGCCUGCUGCACACUGGUUUGCACUGUGAGCUGCUGGGAACAGAGUUGCUCAGUGGGAAGGCCUUUCUGGACUGUGUGAUGGGGUAGGGAGAGCAAGAAGAGAGGAGAAGAAGACCUCCCAACAAAUUAACUGUCCCUAUCAAGGGGAGAAGGCAGAGGAAAGUAGUGAUAAUAGCUAGCAAAUUUGCUCAAGACUACAAAAGAGCUGAAGGUGCCACCAACCACAGAAAGGCAAUCCUCUUAUGGAAGCCUUCAGGAUUUCAUAAUUCUAUUGUGGUCUACUGCUCCAGAGAAGAGUAUCUUUUGGAGUUGUGAACAACAUCAUAUGAAAGCUGAACCUGAGUUUCUCAGGCCGAGGAAAAGGUUUCUACAUCUGAAAAUGAAUGUCACUGCAGACGUUGGAGACUGAAACCAAGGGCUUUAAAGGUCAUGGGAUUCAUUUGCAUUCAAUUG